rnacentral:rRNA from 1 species
GGGGAAUAUUGCACAAUGGGCGCAAGCCUGAUGCAGCAACGCCGCGUGAGGGACGACGGCCUUCGGGUUGUAAACCUCUUUUGGCAGGGAAGAAGCGAAAGUGACGGUACCUGCAGAAAAAGCACCGGCUAACUCCGUGCCAGCAGCCGCGGUAACACGGAGGGUGCAAGCGUUAUCCGGAUUCACUGGGUUUAAAGGGUGCGUAGGCGGGCAGGUAAGUCAGUGGUGAAAUCUUCCGGCUUAACCGGAAAACUGCCGUUGAUACUAUUUGUCUUGAAUAUUGCGGAGGUAAGCGGAAUAUGUCAUGUAGCGGUGAAAUGCAUAGAUAUGACAUGGAACACCAAUUGCGAAGGCAGCUUACUACACAAUGAUUGACGCUGAUGCACGAAAGCGUGGGGAGCGAACA